rnacentral:rRNA from 1 species
CUUAGUGCCAGCCUUGCUUAUACUAAAAAGGGAUAUAUAACUUCGAUUCAAGCAAUUUAUGUACAUGCAGACGAUUUGAUUGACUCUGCCCCUGCCACAACAUUUGCACAUUUGGAUGCUACUACCAUACUUUUCAGAGGAGUAGCUUCUAGGGGUAUUUAUCCAACAGUAGAUCCUUUAGAUUCAACCUCCGCGAAUAGCAAUGGCGGGCCUUCGUCUACGACCGCCACAGUCGUGUGGAGUAGAAGUGUCUAG